GUCCAAGUUCAUGUGGUAAGAAACUUGCAAAUACAUUUUAAGUAUUCCCUCUUUUAUAGGUUAGUUCUUUAAUUAUAUCGAUAUUUACAUUAAUAAUAAGAAUAGUAUUUUUUCCUUUUUUACAUCUAUAAAUUAUGAUAGAGCACAAAAGAAUUCAAAUUAGAGAAAUGAUUCAAAGAUAUUUAUUAAGAUCAUAAUGAAUCUGUUUUUUCUUUAUUUAAUUUUUCAAACUAAAAUAAUUGACGUUUAGUAAGCGAUGCUAGUGCUUUGGAAGUUUUAUCGAACAAAAACGUUUCUAAUGAACAAUUGAGUGAAAAAUUCAUGAACCUUUAGGAGAAUAGAAAGAAAAGAAUAGCAGGAGACAGUAUGUUCUUUUGAACACCGUGCACUUUUGUUCUAUUAUUAUCCAAACAUAUAUACAGCGAACAAUAUCUUAUUCAAUGGACUUUGUACCUUCUUAUUAUAAAUUCAGGGCAGAUUAUAUUUCAUGUAUAUUAUCUAACACAUGAGGGUAUGGACUGGGGGAUCCUUCAUUUCUGUAUUUUUUUUUAUUUUAAAAAUAUUUUAUGUAAUUUUUCUCUAUACUUUAUAUUUGUUUCCAUUUUUUCUCUAUUUUCUAUUUGUAUAUCUAUUAUUUAUCUGUCUAUUCAAUUGUUUUGAUUCAUUACUGUAGCAUUGGCCAAUCCAUAUCGUCUCCCAUGAUGUUUUAACAGCGUUGUGUAUGUUAACCUCCGUAUUAAAAUAAUUCGUGUUGAUGAAAAUAGAAAAAAAAUACAAAACAUAAUUUUCAGAUUUCGGUUAACAUGGUUAACACGUUUUGCAUUGUAAAUAUUUUCACUUGUAUACACAGGUACUUUAAUAUGCGCACUUUCAAUUGCUUAAAACGGUUAUAGAUAUUCUAGUACUUUUUUCCGUACUUCAAACAUGUCAAAAUUAUAGUAAAAUUUCAUAGUAUUGGAUUGACACUUGAACAUGUUGAAAUCGAACGUAUCGGUUUCAUACUUUUAAAGUGAAGUAAAAGUAAAUUUAAUGUACAUGGUUUUGGUUUAUGACCAUAUAUUAUUGAAUUUUGAGUAAACUUACCUGUCAAGUUAUAGUAAAAAAAAUAGUACUAUAUAUUUAGUUUAUCUUCAUAGAAUUAUUUAACGAAGGUACACAUCUAGUACUUCAUAUUUUGCAGUACAAAUCUAGUACUUGUACAUGUAAUAAGAUAGUACAAAAUUUCAGAAGUACUAUAUCAUCUCUAUAUUAUUUUGUUAGUUCAUAGAACUGUAAACUAAUAGCACUUGAAGAGAACACAUGCAAAAGAAGCUGUGUAGUUGAGUUCUAUGGUUGUAUUGAGGCCUGGACUACAUGUAUAUGACAAAGGUACAAAUUUGAUAAAAAUGUAUGAGUCUCAUACGAUCUUCAGGAUUUAAAUUUCAUCAUCUCUCGCGAUCGGAAGUUAAGAGAGCCAAAACAUAAAAUUUGAACAAACCGCGCAACAGUUGUGACGUUCGAUACUGGUUGAAUUAAAAAAAAACAUGAAUAAAGUUAUACCAGAAUUGAAAUGGCAUACACCAAACGAAGAAAGCCAUCUUUUGGUAAUUUAAUUUAAUCUAAACCUAUUUAUUUAUAGUGGAUUGGGAAACCAGUUUUGCAACUAUAUAUAAUCCUUUCCACUUAGAAGAUGCGAGUGCUGCCUUGUAGCGGCAUUUACCUGCUCUUUUUUGAAAAUCUACAAGGGUGUCUUUAACGUGCAAGAGAUAUGACUCUUCUUAACACCGGGUCAGCCAUUUUAAUCAUCCCCUUCCGACGGACUAUCAUAGUUCUUCAAGACCAUACUCGCAAAUGGUGUCAGGAGAGCCGAAAAAUCAGUUCCUGAAAUUUUUCAUCCGGAUCGGGAAUCGUAACCAGGAACCUUUGUGUUAGUAGUCCGAUGCACUAACCACUACACCGGCUCUCAUUCACCUUUUAACGAUAUACACAUGUUACUAUACUUUUUAGUAUUUAAGUUGAUGUAAAUUUUUAACAGACGGUCGGACAUUUUGAGCUUAAGUAUAAAUGUAGAGCUCGUCGAGAGGAACAUUUUAUUCUCAGUAUGUAUGCAGCAACUCUUAUCGUUUUCUUAAUAUGCAAGCUUGAAAUUGCAGCGUAAUUUUGUUUUGGCACUCGGUGACCUUUGACCUUGGGUGCAAAUUGAAGGUCACAUGAACUUAGAUUAUUGCUGUAGGUCCCAAGUCACUACGACUUCUGAUUCUCGAAAUUACAAUUUUUUUUUUAAAUUGUGUAUAUUUUUUCAAAGGAAAUAACUCCUUAUAAGGACUACAACACGGCUCUCUACUGGUUAUCGUUUGAUAAAACAAGCACACACAAAUUUAAAUCAAGCCAAUGCAAUAGUCAAAAAUUAACUUGCAAAAACAGAAAUCCUAUUGAAACAGUAUAAUCUUUUAUAAGAAUUGCUUUUAAAAAUCAGUACACAAUGAACUUUAGAGGUCAAAAGUUAAUGUACUUACAUUUUAUUUCAACUUUAUAAAUAUAAAUGUUUCAAUCAGUAAUACAAAUAUCACAAGGACAAGUCGCCGACACUAACACUAAAUUUAAAUUAGAAUUGUCAGAGUAAAAACAUGAACUAUAACACUAUAAUCAUGAUAAACUAGCCAACAUUCGGAAGUAACUUGUUUUGUAGCUUUUUUGUAUACUGUAACAGUUGUUUUUCAAUUAUAUGGUAAGUCUUGGAAAUUAUCACAUUGGCAAGCACAUCACAUGUCCUUAUUUUUGUGUCAUAUGAUAAAUAAAUGACAAUUUAUUAAUCAAUAUUAUGAUAUUAUUUUUGUGCUUGAAUAUUUGUGAACAAAGACGGCAAGUGAACACCCGAUUUCAGCUCUAAACAAUUACUUUCAAAUAUAAACCCUUUAAGAAGAUUCUGAAACUGUCAUUAAAUGAAAUUAAUUUGCUGAACAUAUUAAUAUGAAGCUAAAAUGAUUGCAUUCGCCUCAGUGUAACCAUUAGUAUGCUGUUUGUAUAAGAAAUGUUUAAGAUACUAAAUAAACAAACACAGAAUGAUAAAUUUUGUUGGAAUAUUAACAAACGAUUGUAUAACUUCGGUAAGAUUUAUCUGUUUUUAUCUAAACACAAACAGAUCCAUUGACCUAAAGACGGUGAACCUUUAUCAGUUAUCUGACCAAAAGAAAACAUUCGAUAUACUCAAUCGGCCAAGGUCUUAACAAUUUUGCUUUUCUUUUAGGUAAAGCGUUGAGUCGCAGCGGCGAUUUAGCAACAAUGGAAGUCCAGGCGAAACCAAUUCUUCCUACAACAGAAAAAGACCCAUCUGAUUUGGAUCAGCAACCACGUGUUUACAAGAGACGAUGGAUGAUUGUGUUUUUGUUCGCCUUCUACUCUCUCAGUAACGCAUACCAGUGGAUACAUCUAAACAUUAUAGGCGACGUGAUAUUAAAAUAUUACAAUGCUAGCAUGCCAGAGGAUCAAUUUCAAAGGGAAACCACACUAGACUGGUUAUCUAUGGUUUAUAUGCUAGCAUAUAUACCGUUGAUAUUUCCCGCCACGUGGCUACUUAACAAAAAAGGCCUCCGUGUUGUUGCGAUUUGUGGUUGUUUUCUUAAUGCACUUGGGGCAUGGCUCAAAGUAGCAUGUGUGAGUCCAGACAGAUUCCC
rnacentral:lncRNA from 1 species